rfam:Zootermopsis nevadensis contig12419, whole genome shotgun sequence.
GUCACGGUGGUCUAGCGGUUAGAACGCUGGACUUGUAAUCCUGGGGUCUCGGCUUCGAUUCCCGGCGGUGCCC